rnacentral:lncRNA from 1 species
CCGUGCGGGGGAGGCGCGGCUGCCGGCAACUUUCGGCGGAGCUGAAGCAGACGGCGGCGGCGGAUCUGUUUGAGGGAGGGGAGAAGAGGUGAUGGUGAGAGAGAGAGAAAAUGGGAGUUAUAGAGAGAGAGAGAAAGAGAACCGUGAGGGGAGAGGUGAGAAGAGAGAGAUAUAAGUUGUUUUAAUUGUUCUAUUAUUUUAGGGUAAGUUUUGAUUUUUAUUUUGAGCCUCACUAAUUAUUUUAGUAUGGACAGAUUUUAUUAAAUGAAUGGGCCUAUUGCUAUCAUUCUGAGUGGGCUGAUUUUAUUGAUUUAAAUGAGCUUGUUGCUUUCAAUAUUAUAAUUGAGCUGUAUUAUUUAUAGCAAGUCUUUAAAUUAUUUUUCUUGGACUUUAACUAUUAGUUUGAGCCUGAAAAUGUUUUAAUAAGAAUUAUUAAUUUUUCUUCCAAGAGUAAGGUUCUAUAUUUUUAAAUUAUUAACUAUUUUAUAAGUUUUAAAUCUAUUAUUAAUCAUAUUUAUUAAGUUAUUAAUUAUGUAUUAAAAGUUUAUGGAUUCGCUCAAAGAGAUUAUUAAUUCGGGCAAAGUGUAUCAAUAGUUAGUGAUUUUCCUCUUUGUAUUUAGAAGUUAGAAUAGCACCAAGAGACCUAUUAAGAAUAGAUUUUUUUGUAGGCUUUGAGGAUCAGGAGGAUUAGCACUGCUUUCCCGUGACAGGUUUACGAUUAAACUACAGGCUUUGCCUAUUCAGGUGGGCUUUAUUUUAAAUACAAUGUAUCUUGAGUUAUAUAAGCUCUGAUAUUUCAUGAAAAUUGUCUGUUUAUCCAAUAUAAAUGUUUUUAUGUGCGUUCUGUAAUUGUUUAAGGCUCACUUAAGUAUCGAUCGAGAUUCUCAUUUGGCCUAACACGCUAAAUGAGGAUUGUGUACACAGGGUUAGUGACUCGAUGGAUUGAUCACCAUCGUGCACUAACAGAUUUAGAACGUUAUAAGGGUGGGUGCUUGACAGGAGGUUAUCCGGAGCACGGUGCUUGACAGGAGGUUAUCCGGAGCACAGUUAAGGUUAUUGAUUCCGACCGGGUGCGUCCCGAGAUCAAUAACAGAUUUUGGAUCUGACUGGGUGCGUCCCGAGAUCAGUGAAUGUGGGGAGAAAGUGAGUAACAAUCGAACGUACAUGGCGCGCCACUUAAUGAAGAAAAGUUUUGUCAUGCUUAGAAGUGGAUUUCUGUUUUUAAACCUUCUGAGUUAUGAUUGUGAUAUUGGAUAAACUACUUCGAUUAUUUCUUAAAAUAUUUCAAAAACUCGUGCCCACUGAGUACAUUAGUACUCAGCCCAAAUUAUUUUCAAAUAUUUUCAGGUUGAUCGGCUGGUGCAGACGGGGCUGAGCUGAGGCUAAGGUUCCACGAUGUCUUUUGCUUCCGCUAAUAACUAUCUUGUCAUCUCAUCCUCCAUCCCCUAAAUUGAGAAUUUCUAUUGUGUGGUAUAAUAUUAUCUUGUUGGGCUUAGACUCUUAACCCAUAUUUCUAUUAAUGGAGCUAUCAUUGAUUAUGAUCAGAGUCACGAAACUAAACCUAUGCGAUCCUGAGUUCGAAUAUUGUCAUUUGAUUAGCAUCUCUUAAUGCCUUUCAUUUUAUCUUCUUUCAUCUUAUCUCUUUAGAUAUGCAUACCCGAUUUAAUGGGUAAAUUAUAAAUUUUAUUCAGCUCAAUUAAGUUCUUAAAUUAUUUUCCUAUUUCUUUUUGCCUUGGAGAAGUCGGGUCGUUACAAUCGCAACACUCAUUUGCACAUAACGACUUAAUCAAAAUUUUCACAUCUCUUACCUCAGAACCCCCCAAACUCUUAGUUUUACAGACUAUGUCCCACUUAACUGUUCGAAACUUAAUGAAAUAUCCUAAUCCUAAUUUUGAUGAUACCAAAAUCCUUAUGUUUUCCUUAUAAUAGACUAGAACUAUUCGAACUCAAGUGUUAGAGUUCUUUUUCUAGUUUAUAUGUUGUUCUGAAGACUGAAGACCAGAGGACUGAAGACUGAAGAUGCCAACUGAUGUAACGAAUUAAGGCAGAGUCAAAUACUGAUAUUUGACUGAUGAGUCCAAGAAUCAGUUGCGACUGAUUACUUAAUGCAGGCCACGUAGAUUCAGCGAACUGAUACUAAAGUCAAGCAUCAGUUAACAUUCUUCCUCGGACUGAACCUCCAAAGCUUAAAGGAAGCCACCCACUCCCAGAGUAUAAAUGCAGAGAUUUAAAGGAUCGUCCUUUCUCUGCAGAGCCUUUCUUUUUGGUGAUUACCUUUUUCAAAGACGUCGUAUCUCCUGUACCAAGUAGUCGUUCUCACCAAAUAAGGAACCUCGAAGAUUGAAGCCUCAGCAAAGUUCAAAUCUAUCUCCAACGGAUGAAUUCUUGAAGACCUUUUCCGUCAACGGAUCUAUUCAAGACCUCUCCUAUAAAUAGAACUCGAGGAACACUUCAAUCUUCACCGAUUCAAAUACAUAAGCUGAAACGCUGCCAGCAUUUUACAUAAAAAUUCCUUUGUUGUUUAUCGCUUUCAGUAUUUACUUUCUUAUUUGUGCUCAAACCUUUCAUUAACUGAAGCUGAUUAACUGCAAAGUGAAACAUAAGUCUUGACAACGUGAUUAAUCACUAAGGCUAUUUCAAAGCAAAGUUUUCCGCUGCCAGUGUUAUUAGUCUAACUGAUAAAUCUUCGGAUAGUCAGUAAGACUCAUAAUACUCAUCUGUUUUACAAACCCGACUGAAGCCUAACGUGUAUCAGUUAAGACUUAACUGAUAACUCUUUACUGAAGAGAUAUUCAGUAUCAGUCGCCAACCGUAGUUUUGCUAAACUCUUUUAACUGAAAAGGUUGUGUUGGCUUGUUUUUCUUCAGUUUCGUUUAAAAUAGCCUAUAGGUGUAUUCUCCCCCCCCCUCCAUACACCUAUAGUACUUUGCAGCUUGAAAUUGACGACAUUGGUGAAGAAGUGGUGAUAUGUUUGGUGAAAUGGUUGAGGCAUCAACUACAUAUAUGUUGAAAAUAGUUAGUAUAAUGUAGUUCUAACAAAAUAAGAAAUAGGGAUUACAAGUACCAAAUAUUUGUUGGUCCACCGUGAGCCAUGGCCAUUCCUCAAUAUAAUUGUGAAUUCGUUUUCUGCCAUUCUUUUAUGCAAAUAAAGAGGAAUAAGAAAUAGACUGUUAGAUUAAAAGAUAGCCAAAGAGUAGAAUGUUAGAUAAAAAGUAUACGAAAAUAGAGAUACCCAAAGAUAACCAACUAUGCAAUUAGAGGAACAAGUAAAGAGAUAGCUAAAGAUAACAAAUCAUAAGCAGGGAUGUCCAUUAUUUGAUAUGUAGUAGACAAAAAGCAGAGAUAGAUAAUUUUUGAUAAAUUCAGAUAUAGGCAAAAAUAAAAUUACAAAAAUAGCGUAAGUAGAUAAAAAGUAUCUACUUAUGAAAUAAAUUCAAACAAAAAUCAAAGAUAAGCAGAGAUACUGAAAUAGAAAUUCACGCAAAAAGUAUGUGCAAGUUUAAGAAGCAUGAAUAUAAGCAAAUAGUAUACAAAAAGAGAGAUAGAGAAAUAUAAUCUAAGAUCAAAUUGGAGAGAAAGCAAAGAUGGAUUAAAGGUAGCGAGAGAUAUAUGGAGACAUAAAUUAAAGGGUUAAUGGUGUUUUUUACCCUAUUUGAAAAACGAAACAUAAAAUAUACCCACCCAAAAUUAAAUAUAUAAAAUGUACCCAUUUUGAGGUUGAAAUGACUAAUAUACCCUUAAAACAAAAAGAAAAUACCAAACAAAUCCCCUCCCAAAAAAAAUCAAAAAUCGCUCGCCUUGCUCGUCUUGCUCGACAUGCUCGACAACAAUUUGAACUAUUGCUCGUCUUGCUCGACAUUGAACUAUUGCUCGACAUGCUCGACAGUUCUUAAUUGUUCGACACUCGAUGUUCGAGGCGUCGAGCAAUAGUUCAAAUUGAACUAUUGCUCGACAUGCUCGAUGCUUGACAGUUCAAUGCUCGACGCUUCAGUGUCGAGCAAUGCGAGCAAUGCGCGAAUUACACAUAGGGGUAAAAAUGUCCUAAGUGGGUAGAUUUUAUUGUUUUAAAAAAAGUGGGUAUAUUUUAUGUUUCAUCUUUCAAAAAGGGUAUAUCCCAUUUUGCCUCUAAAUUAAAGAUAACGAGAGAUAACCAAAGAGAAAUCCAGACAAAAAGCAUGUUCAAGAUCAACAACUCUACUAUGUAAUAAUUUCCAAAAGACAUGCAAGAAUGGCCAAAAUGUACUGAAGAUUGUGAUUUUGGAUCAGAAAAAACAAGUUGUAAAUUCUUUUUAAAAAAUAAAAGCAUUGUAAACAUGAUAAACAAUAUACUCUCCAAACUUGAAAUUGUGUAACGAUUAAGAGAUUAAAGUCUUUGUUUUGGAGGUAGCCAGACUUACUUAUUUUUCAAAGUGUAAACACAAAUUUUUGUAUUUCAAUUUGAUAAAAUACAAAACGCGUCACAAAGAUAAUUUGAUAGAAUUUGAUAGAUAGAUUUAUGCGGGUUGCAAUCUCUAGUUAAUCCUCUGAUUCUUCUCUUCCAUUUGAUUCUUGAACAAGCUCGAAGGUUCUUGAAAUACUUGAUUUGAUGACGCCAAUCCAAUGGACUUAAGUCAUGAUUUUGGAUUGAACGUUGAACUUGAUUUGAUUUGAUUUGAAGAACGUCCUUAGAAUUUGUAAGAACGCCUUGAAGCUUUGGGACUUGGUUGAUUUGAUUUGAGGAAGAUCGUUCUUAGAAUUUGUAAGAACGCCUUGAAGCUUUCGAACUUGAUUUUUUUGGAUACUUGAAGAUCACUUCAAAGAUUUGCAGGAAUACUUGAAGAGUUUGAAGGAUACUUGAAGAUUU